GAUGAACGCUGGCGGCGUGCCUAAUACAUGCAAGUCGAGCGAACGGACGAGAAGCUUGCUUCUCUGAUGUUAGCGGCGGACGGGUGAGUAACACGUGGAUAACCUACCUAUAAGACUGGGAUAACUUCGGGAAACCGGAGCUAAUACCGGAUGAUAUUUUGAACCGCAUGGUUCAAAAGUGAAAGACGGUCUUGCUGUCACUUUAGAUGGAUCCGCGCUGCAUUAGCUAGUUGGUAAGGUAACGGCUUACCAAGGCAACGAUGCAUAGCCGACCUGAGAGGGUGAUCGGCCACACUGGAACUGAGACACGGUCCAGACUCCUACGGGAGGCAGCAGUAGGGAAUCUUCCGCAAUGGGCGAAAGCCUGACGGAGCAACGCCGCGUGAGUGAUGAAGGUCUUCGGAUCGUAAAACUCUGUUAUUAGGGAAGAACAUAUGUGUAAGUAACUGUGCACAUCUUGACGGUACCUAAUCAGAAAGCCACGGCUAACUACGUG
rnacentral:rRNA from 1 species